rnacentral:rRNA from 1 species
GAUGAACGCUGGCGGCGUGCCUAAUACAUGCAAGUCGAGCGAACAGACGAGGAGCUUGCUCCUCUGACGUUAGCGGCGGACGGGUGAGUAACACGUGGAUAACCUACCUAUAAGACUGGGAUAACUUCGGGAAACCGGAGCUAAUACCGGAUAAUAUAUUGAACCGCAUGGUUCAAUAGUGAAAGACGGUUUUGCUGUCACUUAUAGAUGGAUCCGCGCCGCAUUAGCUAGUUGGUAAGGUAACGGCUUACCAAGGCAACGAUGCGUAGCCGACCUGAGAGAGGGAUAGGCCACACUGGAACUGGGACACGGACCAGACUCCUAGGGGAGGCAGCAGUAGGAAAUCUUCCGCAAUGGGCGGAAGCCUGACGGAGCAACGCCGCGUGAGUGAUGAAGGUCUUCGGAUCGUAAAACUCUGUUAUUAGGGAAGAACAAAUGUGUAAGUAACUAUGCACGUCUUGACGGUACCUAAUCAGAAAGCCACGGCUAACUACGUG